rnacentral:rRNA from 1 species
ACGGAGGGUGCGAGCGUUGUCCGGAAUCACUGGGCGUAAAGGGCGCGUAGGCGGCCUCUUAAGCGUGCGGUGAAAGCUCGGGGCUCAACUCCGAGUCGGCCGUGCGAACUGGGGGGCUGGAGCACAGUAGAGGCAGAUGGAAUUCCCGGUGUAGCGGUGAAAUGCGUAGAGAUCGGGAGGAACACCAGAGGCGAAGGCGGCGACCUGGACAGGAACUGACACUCAACUACGAAAGCGUGGGGAGCAAACAGGA